CGAUCCUGAAAGCUUGCUUCCGAUAGGCGUCAACCGGCGCACGGGUGAGUAACGCGUAUCCAACCUGCCCAUCACUUGGGGAUAACCUUGCGAAAGUAAGACUAAUACCCAAUGAUAUCUCUAGAAGACAUCUGAAAGGGAUUAAAGAUUUAUCGGUGAUGGAUGGGGAUGCGUCUGAUUAGCUUGUUGGCGGGGUAACGGCCCACCAAGGCGACGAUCAGUAGGGGUUCUGAGAGGAAGGUCCCCCACAUUGGAACUGAGACACGGUCCAAACUCCUACGGGAGGCAGCAGUGAGGAAUAUUGGUCAAUGGGCGAGAGCCUGAACCAGCCAAGUAGCGUGCAGGAUGACGGCCCUAUGGGUUGUAAACUGCUUUUAUAAGGGAAUAAAGUGAGCCUCGUGAGGCUUUUUGCAUGUACCUUAUGAAUAAGGACCGGCUAAUUCCGUGCCAGCAGCCGCGGUAAUACGGAAGGUCCGGGCGUUAUCCGGAUUUAUUGGGUUUAAAGGGAGCGUAGGCCGGAGAUUAAGCGUGUUGUGAAAUGUAGAUGCUCAACAUCUGCACUGCAGCGCGAACUGGUUUCCUUGAGUACGCACAAAGUGGGCGGAAUUCGUGGUGUAGCGGUGAAAUGCUUAGAUAUCACGAAGAACUCCGAUUGCGAAGGCAGCUCACUGGAGCGCAACUGACGCUGAAGCUCGAAAGUGCGGGUAUCGAACAGGAUUAGAUACCCUGGUAGUCCGCACGGUAAACGAUGGAUGCCCGCUGUUGGUCUGUAUAGGU
rnacentral:rRNA from 1 species